CCUACGGGAGGCAGCAGUGAGGAAUAUUGGUCAAUGGGCGCGAGCCUGAACCAGCCAAGUAGCGUGAAGGAUGACUGCCCUAUGGGUUGUAAACUUCUUUUAUAUGGGAAUAAAACAGGGUAUGCAUACCCUCUUGUAUGUACCAUAUGAAUAAGGAUCGGCUAACGCCGUGCCAGCAGCCGCGGUAAUACGGAGGAUCCGAGCGUUAUCCGGAUUUAUUGGGUUUAAAGGGAGCGUAGGUGGAUUUUUAAGUCAGUUGUGAAAGUUUGCGGCUCAACCGUAAAAUUGCAGUUGAAACUGGCAGUCUUGAGUACAGUAGAGGUGGGCGGAAUUCGUGGUGUAGCGGUGAAAUGCUUAGAUAUCACGAAGAACUCCGAUUGCGAAGGCAGCUCACUGGACUGCAACUGACACUGAUGCUCGAAAGUGUGGGUAUCAAACAGGAUUAGAUACCCCAGUAGUC
rnacentral:rRNA from 1 species